CCUACGGGUGGCAGCAGUAGGGAAUAUUGGGCAAUGGGCGCAAGCCUGACCCAGCAACGCCGCGUGAAGGAUGAAGGCUUUCGGGUUGUAAACUUCUUUUGUCAGGGAAGAGUAGAAGACGGUACCUGGAGUAUAAGCCACGGCUAAAUACGUGCGAGCGGCCGAGGUAAUACGUAGGUGGCAAGCGUUGUGAGGAUUUAGUGGGUGAAAAGGGCGUGUAGUGGGGUUGACAAGUCAGAUGUGAAAUUCUGCGGCUUAACCGUAGAACUGCAUUUGAAACUGUUGAUCUUGAGUAGUGGAGAGGCAGGCGGAAUUCCUGGUGUAGCGGUUAAAUGCGUAGAUAUUAAGAGGAACACCCGUUGCGAAGGCGGCCUGCUGGACAGCAACUGACGCUGAGGCGCGAAAGCGUGGGGAGCAAACAGGAUUAGAUACCCCAGUAGUC
rnacentral:rRNA from 1 species